rnacentral:rRNA from 1 species
AGCUCUAGAAGCGUAUAUUAAUUUUGUUGCAGUUAAAAAGCUCGUAGUUGGAUUUCUGGUGGGAGAGAUCGGUCCGUUCUAAGAAUGGUACUUGUAUCUUCUCCGGCCAUCCUUGGGUGGAGGCUGUCUGGCAUUGAGUUGUCGGGCAGCGGAUGCCCAUCGUUUACUGUGAAAAAAUUAGAGUGUUCAAAGCAGGCUUAUGCCGUUGAAUAUAUUAGCAUGGAAUAAUAAGAUAGGACUUUGGUACUAUUUUGUUGGUUUGCGCACCGAAGUAAUGAUCAAUAGGGACAGUUGGGGGUAUUCGUAUUCAGUUGUCAGAGGUGAAAUUCUUAGAUUUACGGAAGACGAACUACUGCGAAAGCAUUUACCAAGGAUGUUUUCAUUAAUCAAGAACGAAAGU